rnacentral:lncRNA from 1 species
GGAGGAUAUUAGCCCUUUGUCAGAUGAGUCUGUCAGAGAUGUGAAUGUAUAUCCAAUGGCCAUUACCUCUCUUGUGGCAGUCGAUGCUAGCUACAUGCAACAGAAAUUCAUUUCUCCAAGUGCGAAUAACAGAAAAUGUUGAGACUUUCAAGCCCUUUUGGGAGUAACAGUAUCCAAUUGAGAACACCACAUACACCUAGUCAUCAUGUCUCUUCAGUCAGAGGACACAGCAUUUAAUGUUGAAUGCUAAAAAAGAAUUUCUGAGUCUUUCCAAGAGGAAACAAUGUUGGAAGAACCCCAGGAGUCUGUCUUCCCAAUUGCCCUGUUUUCUACUUCUCCUAAGGAUGAGAUGAGAUUAUGAACAGGAAUGGUAAAUCACUUACAGCAGUAUAACAAGAACAAGAACAAGAACGAAGUUGUGUGACAGUAAUAGUGAAAAAUGAAUAGGGACAACCUAUGUAUGCCACAAACUCGGGGUGUAAAAAAUUUUUCUACAAACAUCUACUAAAAGAAGAAGAUCCUAUAUUCCUUGGGUGGAAACAUGGUAAGACAUGUGAGAAUGCCCAGUGAAACUGGGAAAAGUCCUCAGAAUCUUCCAUUUGCAGAUAAGAUUAAAAAACUGCUUGCAGACAUAAAAACAUUAUGGUUCUAGGCUAAUUUCAAUUUAUAGUUAAAUGACCACAGAGUUAAGCCACUAGCUAAUUUCCAUUUAGUGUUAAAAGACAUAAUAAAGAAUUAGAGAAAUCCAGAAUGGGAGGCAUUCUAUAGAACAACUAAACUAAUUUCUAUAAGUGAAUGGCUGAAGGAAAAGGGAGCAGAGGAAGAACUAUUCUAAAUUACGAGUGACCUAAAAAACAAACAUAUUAAAAUGUGGACCUUGUUUAGAUUUUAAUUCAAGUAAGCCAGAAAACACAUUUUUGAGAAAAUCCAUACAUUUGAUUAAGACCAGGUAUGAGAUUAUGCCAAAGAAACAUUAUGAGUGAUAAUAAUAUUGUGGUUUUGUAGUGGGCCAUAAUUUUUAGAGUUAUACUGAAUUAUGAAGGGGUAAAAUAAUACCAUCUGAUAUUUGCUGAAAAAUACUUCAAAUAAGAAAAAGAAAAAACGUGUUUUAAAUAGGUUAAGUGAUCCCAAGUUACAGUAAUCUAAACGGUGUGGUACUGACAUAAGGACAGACAUAUGGAUCAAUAGAAUAGAAUAGAGGUCCCAGAUAAACCCUUGUGCACGCACUCAAUCAAUCUUUGACAAGAGUGCCAAAACCAUACAAUGGGCUUAAAGGGUAGUCCUGUCAAUAAAUGGUGUUGAGAAAACUGGAUAUCCACAUGCAAAAGA